rnacentral:tRNA from 1 species
GCUCCCAUCGUCUAGCCCGGUCAAGGAUAAGGGCUUCUCAAGCCUUCGACGCGAGUUCAAAUCUCGCUGGGAGCA